GCGGAUGUGGCGAAAUUGGCAGACGCGCUGGAUUUAGGUUCCAGUUCCCGCAAGGGAGUGAAGGUUCAAGUCCUUUCAUCCGCACCA
rnacentral:tRNA from 1 species